rnacentral:rRNA from 1 species
UACAGAGGUCCCAAGCGUUGUCCGGAAUUAUUGGGCGUAAAGAGCUCGUAGGUGGCUUGUCACGUCGGGUGUGAAAGCUUGGGGCUUAACUCCAGGUCUGCAUUCGAUACGGGCUGGCUAGAGGUAUGCAGGGGAGAAUGGAAUUCCUGGUGUAGCGGUGAAAUGCGCAGAUAUCAGGAGGAACACCGGUGGCGAAGGCGGUUCUCUGGGCAUUACCUGACGCUGAGGAGCGAAAGUGUGGGGAGCGAACAGG